rnacentral:misc_RNA from 1 species
GAAAUGCGAUAAGUAAUGUGAAUUGCAGAAUUCAGUGAAUCAUCGAAUCUUUGAACGCACAUUGCACCCUCUGGUAUUCCGGGGGGUAUGCCUGUUCGAGCGUCAUUACAACCCUCAAGCUCUGCUUGGUAUUGGAUGCAAUCACCAUGAUUCGUCUCAAAAUUAGUGGCGGUGCCAUUCGGCUUCCAGCGUAGUAAUUCUCUCGCUGUGGAGAUCCGGGUGUGUGCUUGCCAACAACCCCUAAAUUUUAUAAGGUUGACCUCGGAUCAGGUAGGGAUACCCGCUGAACUUAA